rnacentral:rRNA from 1 species
UACGGGGGGGGCAAGCGUUGUUCGGAAUUACUGGGCGUAAAGGGCUCGUAGGCGGCCAACUAAGUCAGACGUGAAAUCCCUAGGCUCAACCUAGGAACUGCGUCUGAUACUGGAUGGCUUGAAUCCGGGAGAGGGAUGCAAAGAUUCCAGGUGUAGCGGUGAAAUGCGUAGAUAUCUGGAGGAACACCGGUGGCGAAGGCGACAUCCUGGACCGGCAUUGACGCUGAGGCGCGAAAGCCAGGGGAGCAAACGGG